GAUGAACGCUAGCUACAGGCUUAACACAUGCAAGUCGAGGGGAAACGAUGAGAGAGCUUGCUCUCUUAGUCGUCGACCGGCGCACGGGUGAGUAGCGCGUAUCCAACCUGCCUCUGACCAAGGGAUAACCCGUCGAAAGUCGGACUAAUACCUUAUGCAGUCGUCGGAAGUCAUCUGAUGACGACGAAAGAUUUCAUCGGUGAGAGAUGGGGAUGCGUCUGAUUAGCUUGUUGGCGGGGUAACGGCCCACCAAGGCGACGAUCAGUAGGGGUUCUGAGAGGACGGUCCCCCACAUUGGAACUGAGACACGGUCCAAACUCCUACGGGAGGCAGCAGUGAGGAAUAUUGGUCAAUGGGCGUAAGCCUGAACCAGCCAUGUAGCGUGCAGGAUGGCGGCCCUAUGGGUUGUAAACUGCUUUUAUGCGGGGAUAAAGUGAGGGACGUGUCCUUCAUUGCAGGUACCGCAUGAAUAAGGACCGGCUACUUCCGU
rnacentral:rRNA from 1 species